GGGAUUUAAUGAUGCACAUAGGUACUUUGAAGAUGGAAAGUUUCUUUUUAAGAAGGAAAAAAAUGUGAGAAUUUACUCUAAAAUACUUAGAAGCAAUGUGCGAGGCUAAUAACAAAGAAAGAACGAAAAUUGAAGUUGAAGAAGGUUUGGUCGAGAUAGCCAGGCGGCGCGACCCAACUAGGCCGCGAUGCUAGGUGUGGUGCAUAUUUAAGGUUAUUUUUGAAAUCCAACUUUUCCUAUCGUUUUUGGACUAGAAUAUUCAAUCUAGGACUUUUCCUACAUAUAUAGAUAGUCCUUAAAACACAUUUUUAAACGGAUAUUGAGAUUAGCAAAGGAUAAACAUGGUAAGAGCAAUUUUGAUGAUUUUUAGCUUUCUUAUAAUUUUUAUUAUGACUAUGAGCGGCUAAGUUCUCUUGUUCUAGGGUUAUGAAUAGUACAUAAAUGUUUGACUUGGACAGUAAAAGUAAUUACUUAUAUUAAUUAAAUACAUUAAAUUGGUUUGUUUAUUUUAUCGUGCACUUAAUUAGCUGUUGGGUAAUUAAUAGUAAAAUUUUAUUAUUUACGAAUUUAUUGAACUUGAAAAGUGGAAGCUAUGGAUUGCAUGUAGGGUUAGAUAGAAUGAAUUUAAUCUUACAAUCUGAAAGCAAAGCUAAAGGAAAUCCACCAAGUCUAUAAUAUCCAGACUUUGUCUUAAACUUUUUGGAACACGUUUCAAGAGUAAUAUUGAAUAUAUCAACUCCCCAAGCAUAUGAGUUGUAGUCCCCACUCUCACCCAAAUCGAAGUAUGACAUAUCAAGUAUUUUACUCUUAAACAUUAAUUGUAAUAAUCUUUUUAUAUUUUUUAAAAUUUUAUAACUAUAUCACAUCAAUUAGGCCUUACAGAGUAAUAGGAAAGUGUAUGAGAGGUGGGGGGGUUUCAUACAUGAACAUUUGACAAUUCAAAAAUAACGUGGCAUGACAGAAAGUGGCGGGCGGAGCUAAGUGGGGAUUCGUGGAUUCAGAAAAAUCAAUAGCUUUUCAGAAGUUCCUAUAUUUGUAUUAGAAAAUUAAAUAAAUAUAUAUGCAUAUUAACUUUUGAACCUCCUGAUAAAAUUUAUUGAUGGUUCAGUGGCAAGAAAAGGGCCGUGGAAAUAUUUUCCACACUAGAGUUGUGGGUUUGAACCCCACUAUCAAUAAAAGUCUCUUUUAGAACCCCAAACUCCUAAUUCUGACUCCACCAAGCCAUAUUAAUUAAACUAUGUAGGCAUUUGGCCAUGCGAUACCAUAUCGUAUAUCACGAUAUGGUAUCGUGAGAUGGAAUCAACGUUUUGAACAUGCGAUUUUUACGCUGAUUCCAUCUCAUGAUUUCAUAUCAUGAGAUGUGAUUCCAUAUUCUCCAAAAACCAUGAUAUGGAAUUAUAUGAGAAUUCCAUAUCAUGAUUUGAGAUAUUUUAAUACAAAAAUUGAUCCACGAGUUUAUAUUUUGUUAAAACAACCCCACAUUUAUAUCAACUAACCAUUUAUUUCAUAUGUAAAUAAAACUUAUUAUAAUCACAUCAUUACUUUUUAAAAUUUAUUACUCACCGACAUAAAAUUUAUUAUUCUCACCAACAUAUAGUCUUAUGUGCUUGUGAUUUUGAUAUGCAAUUUGCCUUUUGUUGUUGCUGGUUGGGAAGGUACUGCACAUGAUAGUAAAGUACUUGAGAAUGCACUUAUUGAACCAACGUCAUAAUUUCCAUUUCUGCCACAUGGUAACUUUAAAUUACAUCCUUAGAAUAAAUAUUAUUUAUUUACAGAAAGCUGUCUCAUUUACGUCACAUAUGCUUUUAGUAAUUCUUUAUAAAAUGUUUGUUGGUAGAUAAAUAUUAUGUCAUUGAUGCUGGUUUCCGAAACACAAUAGGAUUUUUAGCUCCAUACAAAGGACUACGUUAUCAUUUGCAAGAUUACCGAG
rnacentral:lncRNA from 1 species